rnacentral:rRNA from 1 species
GAUGAACGCUGGCGGCGUGCCUAAUACAUGCAAGUCGAGCGAACGGACGAGAAGCUUGCUUCUCUGAUGUUAGCGGCGGACGGGUGAGUAACACGUGGAUAACCUACCUAUAAGACUGGGAUAACUUCGGGAAACCUAGCUAAUACCGGAGAAUAUUUUGAACCGCAUGGGUCAAAAGUGAAAGACGGUCUUGCUGUCACUUAUAGAUGGAUCCGCGCUGCAUUAGCUAGUUGGUAAGGUAACGGCUUACCAAGGCAACGAUGCAUAGCCGACCUGAGAGGGUGAUCGGCCACACUGGAACUGAGACACGGUCCAGACUCCUACGGGAGGCAGCAGUAGGGAAUCUUCCGCAAUGGGCGAAAGCCUGACGGAGCAACGCCGCGUGAGUGAUGAAGGUCUUCGGAUCGUAAAACUCUGUUAUUAGGGAAGAACAUAUGUGUAAGUAACUGUGCACAUCUUGACGGUACCUAAUCAGAAAGCCACGGCUAACUACGUG